rnacentral:rRNA from 1 species
GAUGAACGCUGGCGGCGUGCCUAAUACAUGCAAGUCGAGCGAACAGACGAGGAGCUUGCUCCUCUGACGUUAGCGGCGGACGGGUGAGUAACACGUGGAUAACCUACCUAUAAGACUGGGAUAACUUCGGGAAACCGGAGCUAAUACCGGAUAAUAUAUUGAACCGCAUGGUUCAAUAGUGAAAGACGGUUUUGCUGUCACUUAUAGAUGGAUCCGCGCCGCGUUAGCUAGUUGGUAAGGUAACGGCUUACCACGGCAACGCUGCGUAGCCGACCUGAGAGGGUGAUCGGCCACACUGGAACUGAGACACGGUCCAGACUCCUACGGGAGGCAGCAGUAUGGAAUCUGCCGCAAUGGUCGAAAGCCUGACGGAGCAACGCCGCGUGAGUUAUGAAGGUCUUCGGAGCGUAAAACUCUGUUAUUAGGUAAGAACAAAUUUGUAAGUAACUAUGCACGUCUUGACGGUACCUAAUCAGAAAGCCACGGCUAACUACGUG